AUCCAGCUGACGAGUCCCAAAUAGGACGAUACGCUCGUCCUAGUU
rnacentral:hammerhead_ribozyme from 1 species